GCAUAUCAAUAAGCGGAGGAAAAGAAACCAACAGGGAUUGCCUAGUAACGGCGAGUGAAGCGGCAACAGCUCAAAUUUGAAAUCUGGUCCCUCGGGGCCCCGAGUUGUAAUUUGCAGAGGAUGCUUUUGGCGCGGUGCCUUCCGAGUGCCCUGGAACGGGACGCCACAGAGGGUGAGAGCCCCGUAUGGUCGGACACCAAGCCUAUGUAAAGCUCCUUCGACGAGUCGAGUAGUUUGGGAAUGCUGCUCAAAAUGGGAGGUAAACCCCUUCUAAAGCUAAAUACUGGCCAGAGACCGAUAGCGCACAAGUAGAGUGAUCGAAAGAUGAAAAGCACUUUGAAAAGAGAGUUAAAAAGCACGUGAAAUUGUUGAAAGGGAAGCGUUUGCGACCAGACUUGCGCCCGUCGGAUCAGCCGUCCCUCGUGGGCGGUGCACUCCGGCGGGCUCAGGCCAGCAUCAGUUCGCUGCAGGGGGAGAAAGGCGGCGGGAAUGUGGCUCUUCGGAGUGUUAUAGCCCGCCGCGUAAUACCCCUCGGCGGACUGAGGACCGCGCGUAAGCAAGGAUGCUGGCGUAAUGGUCGUCAGCGACCCGUCUUGAAACACGGACCAAGGAGUCGUCCUAAUAUGCGAGUGUUUGGGUGUCAAACCCCAGCGCGUAAUGAAAGUGAACGCAGGUGAGAGCUUCGGCGCAUCAUCGACCGAUCCUGAUGUUCUCGGAUGGAUUUGAGUACGAGCAUAUUGGGCCGGACCCGAAAGAAGGUGAACUAUGCCUGUAUAGGGUGAAGCCAGAGGAAACUCUGGUGGAGGCUCGCAGCGGUUCUGACGUGCAAAUCGAUCGUCAAAUAUGGGCAUGGGGGCGAAAGACUAAUCGAACCUUCUAGUAGCUGGGUUCCGCCGAAG
rnacentral:rRNA from 1 species